GCAGGAGGCAGCCUGGGCAGGGCUUUCCCCGGGGCUCAGGGCACUUUGCAGAGAUGCUGCCGACAGAACACAGCAGAGCUCAGCUUCCAAGUGCUUAGCUCAGAGUCGCCUGAGGAGGCAAAACCCAUCUGUGGGGAGAGAUGUCAGAAUAACGGGGUGAUUGUCACCUGGCAGGAGGCGUGAGGAAGGCUGCUGAGGGACCAGAAAUGUCCUCCAUCUUGAUCUGGGUGGUGUUUAAAUGGAUAUGAACAUAUGUAAAAAUUCGGUGAACUGAAUAUUUGAGACUUGUGCAUUUUACUGUCUAUGUGUUACAUCUCAAUUAAAAAAAGAACUAAGAUGGAGA